UACGUAGGGGGCAAGCGUUGUCCGGAUUCACUGGGCGUAAAGCGCGUGUAGGCGGCGCGUCAAGUCGGGUGUGAAAGCCCGGGGCUCAACCCCGGGAUGCCGCUCGAAACUGGCGCGCUUGAGGACGGAAGAGGGGAGUGGAAUUCCUGGUGUAGCGGUGAAAUGCGUAGAGAUCAGGAGGAACACCCGUGGCGAAGGCGGCUCCCUGGUCCGUCCCUGACGCUGAGACGCGAAAGCGCGGGGAGCGAACGGG
rnacentral:rRNA from 1 species